AUGCGUUUCUUGAUCUCUCUGGAAAGCCAGCAAAAAAAGGAGAUGGCUAAGGAACGAGGAGGGGACAUUUCAGACUCAGACAGAGAGCGAGACUGGGUUGAGUGCACAAAAAGGAAAAGGAAAGAGAAAGAAACCACCCAGGAAACCAGACCGUUCCAGACUUCGAAAGUUAAAAAGGCUGUUGACUGGCAUAGCAUGCAGAUGAAUGUCAGGCAACGGGUUCAAAGGCUGAGUUUACGACACGAAAGACCAAAAAGCCGAGACGUCUUUCCUGCUGAGAAAGUGACAACGCAGUGGCCGCUGCUUUUUCCGAAUCAAAAACGUCAGCAGCUCUGGACACAGAAAGAUGAACUCGGCCUGUCUUUGUACACGAAGGACAACGGAGAUGCUGGACAUGCCAGCCUUGAGCCAUCAAGAAGCCUCCGUCGUGCCAGAGGUUGUUACCACUCACCCCUCAUCCUGACUGGCUAAUGCCCUGCAGAAAGCAGUUGACAUGGGGGAAAGGGCCAUAAUGAGAUGCUUUAUCGGCCCAUUACGUAGUUCCGCACUUGGAAAUGAAAUGAAGACUGCAGGCCCUGCUGUUAACAUGCCGGCUCAGCGGAAGGGGCACCGAUCUGCAUUCUGGCUCAAAUAAAUCAUGGAAAGGGGUUUGUUUGUUUUUUCCGAUGUCACGGAAGCAAAAACACCCAAUUCCUGCUCUAACUGGUCUAAGAAGUGGAGACCGGCUUCACAACGGGACUCAGGACGGCUUACAAAUGCAAAAGAGUAUACAUACAAAAACAUCAAAUACCGAAAACGCACAAAUGAAAAAUCAAAACAUACGAUUAAAAUCAAACCAUUAAUAAGACAAAGCCCGGGGCUGUGGCGCAGACUGGAGAGCAAGCCAGUGCAAUUAACUGCAUUGAAUCACUGACCAGGAGGUCAUAAGUUCGAGGCCCGCUCGGAGCUAUGUUGUUGUUUGUCUUUGUCCUAUGUUAAAAGGCAUUGAAUGUUUGCCUAAUAUGUGUAAUGUGAUCCACCCUGAGUCCCCUUCAGGGUGAGAAGGGCGGAAUAUAAAUGCUGCAAAUAAAUAAAUAAAUAAAUAAAUAAAGUUAUUCUUACUUUC